rnacentral:rRNA from 1 species
CCCUUAGAUGUUCUGGGCCGCACGCGCGCUACACUGACGAAUGCAACGAGCUUAUAACCUUGGCCGAAAGGUCUGGGUAAUCUCCAAAUUUCGUCGUGAUGGGGAUAGAUUAUUGCAAUUAUUAAUCUUCAACGAGGAAUGCCUAGUAAGCGCAAGUCAUCAGCUUGCGCUGAUUACGUCCCUGCCCUUUGUACACACCGCCCGUCGCUGCCCGGAACUGAGCCAUUUCGAGAAAAAUGGGGACAGACUGCUUGUGGGUGCGCAAGCACUUCUUGCAGAUUGAAACCAUCUUGAUCGGUAUGGCUUGAACCGGGCAAAAGUCGUAACA